rnacentral:rRNA from 1 species
AUUGAACGCUGGCGGCAGGCUUAACACAUGCAAGUCGAGCGGAGAUGAGGUGCUUGCACCUUAUCUUAGCGGCGGACGGGUGAGUAAUGCUUAGGAAUCUGCCUAUUAGUGGGGGACAACAUUCCGAAAGGAAUGCUAAUACCGCAUACGUCCUACGGGAGAAAGCAGGGGAUCUUCGGACCUUGCGCUAAUAGAUGAGCCUAAGUCGGAUUAGCUAGUUGGUGGGGUAAAGGCCUACCAAGGCGACGAUCUGUAGCGGGUCUGAGAGGAUGAUCCGCCACACUGGGACUGAGACACGGCCCAGACUCCUACGGGAGGCAGCAGUGGGGAAUAUUGGACAAUGGGGGGGACCCCGAUCCAGCCAUGCCGCGUGUGUGAAGAAGGCCUUAUGGUUGUAAAGCACUUUAAGCGAGGAGGAGGCUACUGAGACUAAUACUCUUGGAUAGUGGACGUUACUCGCAGAAUAAGCACCGGCUAACUCUGUGCCAGCCGCCGCGGUAAGAC